CCCCACUGUCUCAACUGGAGGCCCAGCGAAAUUGGAGUGCGCGUGCAGAUACGCGCUACCCGCAGAAGGACGAAAAGACCCCGUGAACCUUUACUGUAGCUUGGCAUUGGGUUUCGAAUAACAUUGCGUAGGAUAGGUGGGAGUUUUUGAUCUGUGCAUUCCGGUGUACAGGGAGACAACCUUGAAAUACCACCCUUUGUUAUUUGGAAUCCUAACCUACUGUCGUUAUCCGGCAGGGGGACAAUGUCUGGUGGGCAGUUUGACUGGGGCGGUCGCCUCCUAAACAGUAACGGAGGCGCACGAAGGUUCCCUCAGGCCGUAUGGAAACCGGCCGUAGAGUGUAAGCGCAUAAGGGAGCUUGACUGUGAGACUUACAAGUCGAGCAGGUACGAAAGUAGGUGUUAGUGAUCCGGUGGUUCCGCGUGGAAGGGCCAUCGCUCAACGGAUAAAAGGUACUCCGGGGAUAACAGGCUGAUACCGCCCAAGAGUUCACAUCGACGGCGGUGUUUGGCACCUCGAUGUCGGCUCAUCACAUCCUGGGGCUGAAGCCGGUCCCAAGGGUAUGGCUGUUCGCCAUUUAAAGUGGUACGCGAGCUGGGUUUAGAACGUCGUGAGACAGUUCGGUCCCUAUCUGCCGUGGACGUUGGAGAUUUGAGGAAAGCUGCUCCUAGUACGAGAGGACCGGAGUGGACGAACCGCUGGUGUUCGGGUUGUGUCGCCAGACGCAUUGCCCGGUAGCUAUGUUCGGAUAGGAUAACCGCUGAAAGCAUCUAAGCGGGAAACUCGUCUCAAGAUGAGUCUUGCCGGGGCCUUGAGCCCCCUGAAGGGUCGUUCGAGACCAGGACGUUGAUAGGCUGGGUGUGGAAGCGCAGUAAUGCGUUAAGCUAACCAGUACUAAUUGCCCGUGAGGCUUGACC
rnacentral:rRNA from 13 species